rnacentral:rRNA from 1 species
ACGGGUGAGUAAUAUAUCGGAACGUGCCCAGUUGUGGGGGAUAGCCCGGCGAAAGCCGGAUUAAUACCGCAUACGACCUGAGGGUGAAAGCGGGGGAUCGCAAGACCUCGCGCAAUUGGAGCGGCCGAUAUCAGAUUAGCUAGUUGGUGGGGUAAAGGCCUACCAAGGCGACGAUCUGUAGCUGGUCUGAGAGGACGACCAGCCACACUGGGACUGAGACACGGCCCAGACUCCUACGGGAGGCAGCAGUGGGGAAUUUUGGACAAUGGGCGCAAGCCUGAUCCAGCCAUGCCGCGUGCGGGAAGAAGGCCUUCGGGUUGUAAACCGCUUUUGUCAGGGAAGAAACGGUCUGAACUAAUACUUUGGACUAAUGACGGUACCUGAAGAAUAAGCACCGGCUAACUACGUGCCAGCAGCCGCGGUAAUACGUAGGGUGCAAGCGUUAAUCGGAAUUACUGGGCGUAAAGCGUGCGCAGGCGGCUAUGCAAGACAGAUGUGAAAUCCCCGGGCUCAACCUGGGAACUGCAUUUGUGACUGCAUGGCUAGAGUACGGUAGAGGGGGAUGGAAUUCCGCGUGUAGCAGUGA